UGUUGCGUUAGCGAGGCGUGGACGCGGUGACGAGAGGUUGCCCCUCUAGGGGCUGCCGGUUAGUUAAGAAGCGCUGCGCGAUAAAUCAGUUAAGGCUCGAAUUUAGCUGUCUUCGCUGGUUUUGCUGAAGGCCAACUGAGGAUGUUUUGGCCUGGAAGUGCCAGGGUGUACACACUCUAAUAGAGUGAUGAAGCCUGCGCAGACUUGAGAGUUUUGGUCCUAUUGGUUGGGAAUACUAGUCCCAGCAGUGUGUUUAUUUGAACAGAAACUUCUCACAACGAAACAAGCAGAGGUGGCAUGGAGCCCAUCAUAAAGACGUGGCAUCGAUACUGGACUUGUUCCUAUGCUGGUGUGUGGCAGAGACCACAUACCUGGUGUGCAGUAAUUUUUCUCAUUGGCAGUAGAAGAAAAAGCCCUGUGAAGUUCAGUACUGUUUGCUGUAAAGAUUAUCGUUGAAGACACAGUUUUCUAGCUUAUAGGAUGUUACCUUGGAGUACCCACAGGGUAAAUUCUCCUGUCUGCACUAAGUCAUGUAACCUCCCCAAUCAGACACCGGGAAUGAGUUUCGUGUCCUCGCUCUCUCUGGUAUAAUCUUAUUUUAUCUACACUCAUUUGUACUUACUUCCUACUUUCCCCAUUAACUUAAUUUUUAUCUUAUUUUUGGCAUUUUUCUAAAUUGCCUUAUGUUCUUUUUGGAAUACAAAUUUAUUUACAUAAAGAGGAUGUUCAAAUUUGA